AUUUAUGAGCAUUCGGUGCGCAAAGGGUUAAAUAAUAGUUCACCUGAAACAAAUAUUCUGUCAAGUAAAUAUAUGUUUAUUUAAGAAUGUCUAGGUAUUUUUUUUUAAUUGAAGAUGGUGGUUCAAUUUAAAGAUUCACUGUAAAUAAAUUGCAUUCAGCACUUAAAAACACUAAUACAAAUUCAAUCUAAUUGAAGGAAUAGUUAAUCCAAAAAUUAAAAUUUGCCAUAAUCAACCAUCCAUAACACUUCCUACAGUGAAAAUAACAAUAUAUCAUGUCUAUAUCAGGAGAGAAAUCUGCACAGAUCAAGCACAGUCUACAAACCAAAACAGUCCAAAACAGCUCUAAACAAAUAUGUGGGUGGAUUUUGAUGUGAGAGACAACAGGAGAUGCACUUUUUAACUGAAGGAAGUGCUAUUAUGGAUUAUGGAUAUUUUAGCCAGAAGCGAUGGUUUUAAGUCAGAAGACAAAUGCCUAUGUAUGUAUUACAGGUGCCUAUACUGUAAAAAAGCUCUUCACUGUUUUAUGUGGAUAAUGGUUUAUGUUCAGUCUGUUCCAGAAGUUGUUUGUGCUACUGGUAUCAUAUCUGAAUGGUGUUGUUUUGUUGGAGUUUGAUAGCUCCAGCCCCUAUUCGCUUUCAUUCUAACCGCAGCAAGAAUAUUCUUCAGCAUUUCUAAUUUUCAGAGAAGGUUGAAGAUGACAGUAAUUUUUCGGGUGAAGUAUCUCUUUAAGAGAGUAAAGCGUCACUCUCUCGCUCUCGCUCACCAUCCUUAUUCAACUCCAAACUGACAGUGUUUUUAAUCUUUCCUCGGCUUCUCUUCUGGUGAUUGGGGAAACAAAAAUCAAUAGCUUCUGGCAGGUGAUGUGGAGGGUUGUGAAUUACCGCCCACUUUUCUGCAGCGCUGACGGCCGGCUGGCCUUGAGCCGGGAACACGACAGUGUGGAUGGAGGUCAGAGGUCACGACAGGAGCAGCGUGGGGCCAAAAUAAGCAGCAGAAGUGCACUUCUAUUUCCUCUAACUCAAGAGUGCAGGGGUGAAAAGUCAGGCGAAGGACAGUAUGACAGAUCGAGGGAAGUGAAGCAUGCAGCACCGUCAUACCUGCCUCUCCCGUUGAGUCCCAUACGGAGAGGGAGAGGUAUCUGUGAUCUCCCAUCAUGCAUCAGGACAGCCGGUGUAAGAUUGAUGACACUCUUCGGAAGCAACAGAAGACGGGCCGCCCGUGAGCAGCCGCUUAUGAGACCUGAUAGACUCGUCUCUUAAUAAACAGCACUGAUAUGUCAGCCACGCCGUGUUUCACCCAAAGCAGCGAUGCAGACGAGAGAGAACAAGAAAUUGAGUGAAAGAGAGAGAGAGAAAUAGAGAGGAAAAAAUCCCUGCAGUCUCCCACUGGAGCCGUUUCAGGCACCAUGUUAUGACCAAUGAGCUGCACACCUAUACAUUAGACACAACAUCAAUAAUCAAACUAAAAACAGAGUCAGGGUGUUUAAUAUAGUGCACAACUUAAUGGAAGACAGUUCCUAUCAGAAGGAUGUUGUGUGUGUAGUAUGAUAUAAGUGCAAAACUCAGUGGUGCUCAAUACCUACUGGUUCAAGUCAAAAGAUCUUUUAUCAGGCCAAAUUAAAAACUAACUAAAGCUAAAUAAACUAAAAGUAAAAUAAAACUAAAUAAAAAGUAAAAAUGUAUAAAUACUCUAUAGACAUAAAAAUAGAAAUAAAAUAACACUGAGAAAAAUGACAAAAACUCAAAUUAAAACUACUAAAACUUUAAGUAUAUUAAAGAGAAAACAGAAGAUCUCAUUUAAAUAUUAAAAACUAUAUACAGACUUGGUUCUAUGCAUCAGCUGUUGAUUGGAUGUUGAGAUGUGGGCGUAGCACUCAAAAAUGGAGUUAAAGAUUUUAAGGUUAAAACAUUUAGAAAACAUGAAACCUUUGCAAGGAUCAGCUGUUCACAAUAAACUUUAUAAAAUGCAUUUAGAAAAUAGAUAAUUUAAUAAUUAAGCUUAAUUCAAAUCUCUGUCAGUAUAAAAAUAGUAAGAGCACAGAAGGCUACACCAAGAUGGUUUACUCAUAUUAGUAUGAACUGGAGAAAAUGCAACGCACAAUCACAACAGAAAAAGCCCAAGCAUUUAAAAUAAAAGAGCCAAUUGAUAAAGUUGGUGUGUGACUCUCUGGUUCCCAAAGAGAAAGUGCUGAGGCUUGGGACUUUACAUGCACAUAGACUGCUGAACUAAUUUGAAAUAUACGCUUUAUAAGGUAUUUGAACAUAAGAAACAAAUUUAAGGGACAAUUCAAAUUUUAUUGCAGAUUUACAAGUACAUUUAUUAAUUUAGCAGAUGCUUUUAUCCAAAUUAAAUGAUAUUUAAUUGGUAGUCUGUAAAGCAGUUUUCAAGAUUUCAGUAUUUCUGCAUUCAAGUACACACAAGUUGGUCUUGCAUGCCCAAAAUAACUGUGCCGAGGCGUUGAAUAUAUGGCUGUCGAGUGAACAGACUUUCCUCAGAAGGGACUUUGGUGAGAGCGAUGCUUAAAACACCAAUCUUCAGUAUUUCAAAGUAUUUCGCCUUUAAAGAUACGGUAUAAAAUAUAGAUUAGAUGAAAAUACUCCCAACCCAAUCAGUUUCAAUAGGAAAUACGUCAACAUGGUAUAAAAAAUACAUUCGCUGAAACAAUUUCAUGGGAUCAGGCUGAAAUUAUCAGGGGACCUUGUUAAAGAUAAAUGUCAGCUGCUUGUUUCUAACCCUUUAGUUAAAAAAAGCUUUACUUCCUGUGCUGCUG
ensembl:lncRNA